GACGAACGCUGGCGGCGUGCUUAACACAUGCAAGUCGAACGGAAAGGCCCUGCUUUUGUGGGGUGCUCGAGUGGCGAACGGGUGAGUAACACGUGAGUAACCUGCCCUUGACUUUGGGAUAACUUCAGGAAACUGGGGCUAAUACCGGAUAGGAGCUCCUGCUGCAUGGUGGGGGUUGGAAAGUUUCGGCGGUUGGGGAUGGACUCGCGGCUUAUCAGCUUGUUGGUGGGGUAGUGGCUUACCAAGGCUUUGACGGGUAGCCGGCCUGAGAGGGUGACCGGCCACAUUGGGACUGAGAGACGGCCCAGACUCCUACGGGAGGCAGCAGUGGGGAAUAUUGCACGAUGGGCGGAAGCCUGAUGCAGCAACGCCGCGUGCGGGAUGACGGCCUUCGGGUUGUAAACCGCUUUCGCCUGUGACGAAGCGUGAGUGACGGUAAUGGGGAAAGAAGCACCGGCUAACUACGU
rnacentral:rRNA from 1 species